rnacentral:rRNA from 1 species
CGUUGAAGACUACGACGUAGAUAGGUGGGGUGUGUAAGCGCGGUGACGUGUUGAGCUAACCCAUACUAAUUACCCGAGAGGCUUAACCAU